GACGAACGCUGGCGGCGUGCUUAACACAUGCAAGUCGAACGGAAAGGCCCUGCUUUUGUGGGUUUCUCGAUUGGCGAACGGGUGAGUAACACGUGAGUAACCUGCCCUUGACUUUGUGAUAACUUCUGGAAACUGGGGCUAAUACCGGAUAGGAGCUCCUGCUGCAUGUUGGGGGUUGGAAAGUUUCGGCUGUUGGGGAUCGACUCGCUGCUUAUCAGCUGCUUUGUGGGGUAGUGGCUUACCAAGGCUUUGAGGGGUAGCCGGCCUGAGAGGGGGACCGGCGACCUUGGGCCUGAGAGACGGACCAGAAGCCAAUCGGAGGCAGUGGUGGGGAACAUUGCAGAAUGGGCGGAAGCCUGUUGCAGCAGCGCCGGGUGCGGAAUGACGGGUUAUGGGUUGUAAACAGCUUUGGAAGUAACUAAAGAGGGAGUGACGGUAACUGGUAAAGAAGCCACGGCUAACUACGUG
rnacentral:rRNA from 1 species